GUUAUAAACUGUACUUCUGGGCUGGAACGUUGCCAGUCUUUCUGCCUGCUACUGGAGGCUGGAACGGGACAACAGAGCAGGAUGUACAGUCAGCUACUGGCAUCUUCUGAAAACAGGCUUUCUUUUUGAGUAUUCUUUGUGGAGGCAAAGGCCGGUCCUACUCAGCAGUGUCCUGUGAGAAAACACCUGUGAGAAUUAGGUGACUGAGAUCAUAGAAUUGUUAAGGUCACCACAUCCAACCAGCAGCCCAUCUCACCAUGCCCACUGACCACGUCACCCCAGUGCCACAUCCACACGGUUCUUGAGCACCUCCAGGUGUGGUGACUGCACCACCUCCCUGGGCAGCCCGUGCCCCUGCAGCACCACUCUUUAUGAGAAGUUUUUCCUAACAGUCAACCUGAGCCUUCCCUGGCACAAAUAGACAUAAAUAAUCACUACUGGAUAGUCCCUGGGUCAAGCUGAGGGAACCACACACAUCAAGGGAACAGAGCUGUGCAUGUGAAAGUGUCACUAGUGCGCCAUGUGCUCACUGUCCUACCCAUACCCCCACCCUGCCCACCCAGUCCCAAAUCUGCCCUUAUGAAGAAGGCCACUGUUUGCAGACAUAUCAGCCCCUUUCGGGCCCUUUCACAGAGGUCCAGAGUUGAGGCAGCCUCCAGGUAAUGUGCAGAAAUAACCUUCAGUCCUCUGGGAAAGAAGACUUGCUCCUUUUGGCACCUGGAGGUAAACUCCGUGAAAGCUUGGGUUUGCUGAGUGUGUUUUAUGUGCUUGUACUAGGUCUGUCACAGAUUGCCCACAGCUGUUGCAAGACCACGUGCUUCACAGGCCACAGGUUCUUCCUGCUUUCUAACCACAUAUGCAAAGGCCAUCUGCUCCGUUUACCACAGCCUUUCACAGCUGCCAGCACAGAGGAAUUCCAAAGCAGGGCCGGUGCCUCUGUGUGCAUUUCAAGAGCUUUCCUCUACAUCAUUUGACCAACUCUUCAAGAGACCACGCAGUAAUGACAAAAACAUGCAAUUAUCUUUCAUCACCUGAUUUGCCCAUUUUACUGAGAUCAUUGAGAGUGGCUCCAUGUUCAGUUUUGGUCUACUUGUCAAAGAUUCAGCAAGAAAUCCAUGAGAUAAUGGUGGUUACUACAUUCAGAAAAUUAAGAAGUUGUAUCCUCCUUUUCUCCAGAAAUAUCCGCCUAUUCUCCAGAAUCAUAAUG
ensembl:lncRNA